GACGAACGCUGGCGGUGUGCUUAACACAUGCAAGUCGAACGGUAAGGCCCUUUCGGGGGUACACGAGUGGCGAACGGGUGAGUAACACGUGAGUAACCUGCCCUCAUCUCUGGGAUAACAGUCGGAAACGGUUGCUAAUACUGGAUAUGAGCUUGCAAGGCAUCUUGUGGGUUGGAAAGAUUUUUUUGGUUGGGGAUGGACUCGCGGCCUAUCAGCUUGUUGGUGAGAUAGUGGCUCACCAAGGCUUCGACGGGUAGCCGGCCUGAGAGGGCGACCGGCCACAUUGGGACUGAGAUACGGCCCAAACUCCUACGGGAGGCAGCAGUGGGGAAUAUUGCACAAUGGACGGAAGUCUGAUGCAGCAACGCCGCGUGCGGGAUGACGGCCUUCGGGUUGUAAACCGCUUUCAAUUGUGACGAAGCUUUUUGUGACGGUAGCAGUAGAAGAAGCACCGGCUAACUACGUG
rnacentral:rRNA from 1 species